GCAUGCCGGGGGUACGUAUAUUCCAUGAAAAUUCUUGUUGACAUAUGAUGAGAGCACAAAAGUGCGAUCUACACGCUGCUUAAAUUAGUAUUACUGCUAACAUAUAAUGAUAAACUCACUGAAUUAAUAUUAUUUGUGUUUGGCACGGAUUAUCAUAAAUUAGAGAUAGAAUACACAUUGAGUACAAAUUGACUUCAGAAGGAUGCCAACCCAAGCCGAGCCGUCUAUCUUCCACGAAGCACCCUUGAUCCAGCAUCCCGUGUGUCCAUUUGAACAAGUUCAUCACAACCUUCCGGAGUCCUCCCACGUGCAAUCCAUGCGCCUACAUCUCCAUGGAUCGGCAUCCACACCCUUCCAUAUCAACCCAUCUUGACAUAACAUCUCACCGCAUCCAAGCUUCCAAAUCAGCCUCCCCAUUCUAGCCACCUCCAAGCCAUCCUUCUUAGCGGAUCCACGUCCUCCUCCCAGCCUCCCGCAGCCGUUCCGGGCAUUCCAUUCCCAGCAUCCCGCGGCCAGUUCGCAAUCAAGCCUCCCGUN
rnacentral:lncRNA from 1 species